CAGAAAAAAAAAACAACAAAAAAAAAAUCGAUAGCAGCUUAAAGUAUUUAAAAAAAAUUAUCCGCGUCGUCCCUCUUAACACAAUUUCUUGCUUGGUGUCUUUUUUCACAGUAGGGGGUUCUUUUCACAGUAGUGGGGCCAUCCUUGUUUUGGUCUAUUUUAUACAAACAGUAGGAUUCUUCCCUUUCCCCUCCGCUUUUUUCUUUUUUUUUUUUCUUUAAAAAAAAAAAAAAAAACGACAAGACGGUCCUCGGCGAGAGAUUAUGUUUUUUUUUUUUUCCUAAUCUAGGAAUCUUUUUGGGCGUUUUGAUGA
rnacentral:ribozyme from 12 species